AAUGAACGUUGGCGGCGUGGAUUAGGCAUGCAAGUCGUACGGGUCGGUGUAGCAAUACAACGGCAAGUGGCGAAAGGGAGAGUAACGCGUAGAUACCUACCCUCUGGUCGGGGAUACCGCGGCAUAACCGCAAGUAAUACCCGAUAAUAUCUCCGGAUCAAAGGUGUGAUUCCGCCGGAGGAGGGGUCUGCGUUUCAUCAGCUUGUUGGCGAGGUAACGGCUCACCAAGGCUAAGACGAAUACGGGGUGUGAGAGCAUGCCCCCGCUCACUGGGACGGAGACACUGCCCAGACACCUACGGGUGGCUGCAGUCGAGAAUCUUCGGCAAUGGGCGCAAGCCUGACCGAGCGACGCCGCGUGCGGGAUGAAGGCCUUCGGGUUGUAAACCGCUGUCGAGGGGGAUAAAGUGCAGGUGGGUUCUCCCAUUUGUUUGAUAGAUCCCUGGAGGAAGCAUGGGCUAAGUUCGUGCCAGCCGCCGCAGUAAGAC
rnacentral:rRNA from 1 species